CCUACGGGAGGCAGCAGUCGAGAAUCAUUCACAAUGGGGGAAACCCUGAUGGUGCGACGCCGCGUGGGGGAAUGAAGGUCUUCGGAUUGUAAACCCCUGUCAUGUGGGAGCAAAUUAAAAAGAUAGUACCACAAGAGGAAUAGACGGCUAACUCUGUGCCAGCAGCCGCGGUAAUACAGAGGUCUCAAGCGUUGUUCGGAAUCACUGGGCGUAAAGCGUGCGUAGGCUGUUUCGUGAGUCGUGUGUGAAAGGCGCGGGCUCAACCCGCGGACGGCACAUGAUACUGCGAGACUAGAGUAAGGGAGGGGGAACCGGAAUUCUCGGUGUAGCAGUGAAAUGCGUAGAUAUCGAGAGGAACACUCGUGGCGAAGGCGGGUUCCUGGACAUUAACUGACGCUGAGGCACGAAGGCCAGGGGAGCGAAAGGGAUUAGAUACCCGUGUAGUC
rnacentral:rRNA from 1 species